rnacentral:rRNA from 1 species
UAGGGAAUCUUCGGCAAUGGGGGGAACCCUGACCGAGCAACGCCGCGUGAGUGAAGAAGGUUUUCGGAUCGUAAAGCUCUGUUGUUAAGGAAGAACGAGUGUGAGAAUGGAAAGUUCAUGCUGUGACGGUACUUAACCAGAAAGGGACGGCUAACUACGUGCCAGCAGCCGCGGUAAUACGUAGGUCCCGAGCGUUGUCCGGAUUUAUUGGGCGUAAAGCGAGCGCAGGCGGUCAAUUAAGUCUGAUGUGAAAGCCCCCGGCUCAACCGGGGAGGGUCAUUGGAAACUGGUUGACGUGAGUGCAGAAGAGGAGAGUGGAAUUCCAUGUGUAGCGGUGAAAUGCGUAGAUAUAUGGAGGAACACCAGUGGCGAAGGCGACUCUCUGGUCUGUAACUGACGCUGAGGCUCGAAAGCGUGGGUAGCAAACAGG